UCGAGGGGUAACAGGAGAAGCUUGCUUUUCGCUGACGACCGGCGCACGGGUGCGUAACGCGUAUGCAACCUACCUCUUACUGGGGGAUAGCCCGGAGAAAUUCGGAUUAAUACUCCAUAGUAAUACAAUUUCGCAUGUUAUUGUAUUUAAAGGUUACGGUAAGAGAUGGGCAUGCGUCCCAUUAGCUAGAUGGUAAGGUAACGGCUUACCAUGGCAACGAUGGGUAGGGGGCCUGAGAGGGUGAUCCCCUACACUGGUACUGAGACACGGACCAGACUCCUACGGGAGGCAGCAGUGAGGAAUAUUGGUCAAUGGACGCAAGUCUGAACCAGCCAUGCCGCGUGCAGGAAGAAUGUCCUAUGGAUUGUAAACUGCUUUUAUUUGGGAAUAACCCCCCCGACGUGUCGGGGGCUGAAUGUACCAAACGAAUAAGCACCGGCUAACUCCGUGCCAGCAGCCGCGGUAAUACGGAGGGUGCAAGCGUCAUCCGGAAUCAUUGGGUUUAAAGGGUCCGCAGGCGGAUGUAUAAGUCAGUGGUGAAAGCCUACAGCUUAACUGUAGAACUGCCAUUGAUACUGUAUGUCUUGAAUUCGGUCGAAGUGGGCGGAAUAUGUCAUGUAGCGGUGAAAUGCUUAGAUAUGACAUAGAACACCGAUAGCGAAGGCAGCUCACUAGGCCUGGAUUGACGCUCAGGGACGAAAGCGUGGGGAGCGAACAGGAUUAGAUACCCU
rnacentral:rRNA from 1 species